GAUGCCCUGGCCCUAGGCUUUCUCGUGAACCCUCCCCUAACUAGGGUAGAGCACAGGUGCACUCCUGAUAGGGCUCUAGCUCCUUCACUUUUUGCUUGAAGGGACAAAGCAACAAUCAAGCGACUUGAGGGGCCACUGAAAGGCUUCUUCCAUAAAUAGGAGGAUGAAAAGUGAGCGAGGAACAUAACUGUGCAACAGAUGGCCUGGGCAUUCACACCAGUGCAGUCACACGCUGGCGGGGUGUAGACCGAGCGAUCUCCUGCAGCCAAAGAGGAGAGCGGGAAAUGUGCUGUGUCGCCUUGCCUUUCUCAGCGUCUCUGCAGCUGUGAUUGCUCGCAGCCAGUGAGUGCCUCGUCCUGCAGGCCGUGAGCUGUCACUUCUGUGCUCCAUCCGGCAGCACAUACAGUGAAAUUGGAGGUAUGGCUUCCUCCACUGCCUUCUGCUAGGGCCAGAGCCGCAGUGGAGCUGCGCACGGACACAGGCUGUGACGCCACCCUGCGGGGCUCUGCCUCUCAGCUCUGCCGCACCCUAGCUGUGUGGCCUCACAAGUCCCUUCACACCUGUGCCCCAACACGAGGUAACGCCAGUACCCAGCUCACAAGCGGACAAGGAGGAAGAGUCAGCGCUGGGGUGUUUGAAGUACUCAGCAGUGGCUGCUACGGCAGAGAAACGGGGACCAGGAGGGACAUUGCAACAGAAAACUGCAUUUUCCGCCAUCCAGGCAACCGUGCGGUUAGAAGACGAGGCAGGAGGACAGUGGGAGGAGUCCUUGGCUCUGCCUGCCAUGGGGUGAGGCCCACAGAGCUGGGCUGUGGUGUGACGCACUGUGUGGGAACUGCUGAGGGCAGGGUGGCAAGCCCACGAUUCACUGUUCCGUAUGACCAUCGAGUGCCACAGCCAGGAAAGCGUAACACACAUCUCUGUGAGGGAAAGCGCUCGUAAAAAGUGAUGGUGUUAGCGUACCUUGCUGCUCCCUGCUUUUAGUAAGGUAUCAUAAGAAAGAAAUGAGUUCAGGCAAGAGCUGCUUGAUUCAUAAGCAGAAAUGGAAAAAAAAUGAGAAUUUUCAGAAAUUUAGGGCUUCUCAAAGUUGGGUAAGACACUUAAAGAUUAAGAAACUAGAGUCAUUCAUAGGUAAAUGGAUGCAUAUUGAGGCCAUACUCUUAAGUGAAAUAGCACACACAUGUGCAAAUACCAAAUAGCUUCUCUGGUGUGAAAAACUAAAAGUGUAAAUAAGAUGCAAAUUGUAUAAUUCACAAUGUGAAAUAGGAAGAAAGGGGCUUAAGGUGUAGGGGAAGUGAGAAGGGAAGGAGAAAGGAAAUAAGGGAGAAGAAAAAAUAUGAGAAAAUGAAAUAAUGGAAACAAAGACUUUGUAAAUAGGGAAGGGUGGAGCGGGUGAAGGGAGGGCAGGGACAACGGGAAAAAUGAGAACCAAG
rnacentral:lncRNA from 1 species